rnacentral:rRNA from 1 species
UACGUAGGGGGCUAGCGUUGCUCGGAAUUACUGGGCGUAAAGGGCGCGUAGGCGGUUAGUUUAGUCAGAGGUGAAAGCCCAGGGCUCAACCUUGGAAUUGCCUUUGAUACUGGCUAUCUUGAGUACGGAAGAGGUAUGUGGAACUCCGAGUGUAGAGGUGAAAUUCGUAGAUAUUCGGAAGAACACCAGUGGCGAAGGCGACAUACUGGUCCGUUACUGACGCUGAGGCUCGAAAGCGUGGGGAGCAAACAGG